rnacentral:siRNA from 1 species
UCUUUGUUUAGUCUGGUUUAGUCU